GCACAUAGCGCCAGCCUAAGUCCAGCACCGAGUACGGCAUCUGGAGUGGCCCAUGGAGGGUGAAAGGCCCGUGGGGGGUGGAGAACAAGUCGGCCAGUUCUGCCCUGAGUGAACCUUGGAGUCGGGUUGUUUGUGAAUGCAGCCCAAAGCGGGUGGUAAACUCCAUCCAAGGCUAAAUACUAGCACGAGUCCGAUAGCGAACAAGUACCGUGAGGGAAAGUUGAAAAGUACUUUGAAGAGAGAGUAAACAGUGCGUGAAACCGCUCAGAGGUAAACGGGUGGAGUUGAACUGUAAGCUCCGGGGAUUCAGCUGGUGAGUGUGUCAUGGGCUUGGUCAUUUUCGGCCGGCCUCUAGAGUCCGCUUAGCUGCGGGUCCUUGCUCUUUCGGGGGUAGGGAUGUGCGUUGCGCUUGUCAAGUGCUGUGCGCUCUGGGGGUUACCGGGCUGGCUUGCCAGUGCACUUUCUCGGAGUGGUCACCACGACCGGCGUUGUUGCCGUGCUGCUGUAGUCGAACUAGUCAGGUAUGGUCCUUGUGGCUGAAUUUGGCUAGGAUGGCAGGUAGCUCAUUGGUUGGCUUGCUAACCUUUGGGUGUAAUCAGCUGACUGCAGUGGUUUUGUGCAAUACGUCGGAGACGGCGGCUUCAGGUGUUUGCUUAUGUGCCGUUGGCUGGCAGUGUCGAGUUUGACUGGCGUGUUACUUGCUUCGGUAGGUCCGUCGGUAGCUCGGUGCUGUUUGGUUGGCGGUUGCAUUUGUGAUACCAUUAUUGGGCCCAUAGUCUGUGGUGUAGCAGCAAACGAUCCACCUGACCCGUCUUGAAACACGGACCAAGGAGUUUAACAUGUGCGCGAGUCAUUGGGCGUUACGAAACCCAAAGGCGUAGUGAAAGUAAAGGUUCGGCUUGUCCGAGCUGAGGUGAGAUCCUGUGGCUUCUCGUGCGAGGUACCACCAAGCAUGUGAGUUGCAGGCGCAUCACCAGCCCGUCUCAUGGUGUAGUCGCGUGGCCUUGUGUCGCGUGCGUCAUCGGGGCGGAGCCUGAGCGCACACGUUGA
rnacentral:rRNA from 1 species